rnacentral:rRNA from 1 species
UACAGAGGGGGCAAGCGUUGUUCGGAAUUACUGGGCGUAAAGGGCGCGUAGGCGGCCUGUUAAGUCGAACGUGAAAUCCCCGGGCUCAACCCGGGAACUGCGUCCGAUACUGGCAGGCUUGAAUCCGGGAGAGGGAUGCGGAAUUCCAGGUGUAGCGGUGAAAUGCGUAGAUAUCUGGAGGAACACCGGUGGCGAAGGCGGCAUCCUGGACCGGCAUUGACGCUGAGGCGCGAAAGCCAGGGGAGCGAACGGG